UACGUAGGGUGCAAGCGUUAAUCGGAAUUACUGGGCGUAAAGCGUGCGCAGGCGGUUUCGUAAGUCUGUCGUGAAAUCCCUCGGCUCAACCGAGGAACUGCAUCCGAUACUGGCGGGCUUGAAUCCGGGAGAGGGAUGUGGAAUUCCAGGUGUAGCGGUGAAAUGCGUAGAUAUGCGGAGGAACACCGAUGGCGAAGGCAAUCCCCUGGGCCUGCACUGACGCUCGAUGCACGAAAGCGUGGGGAGCAAACAGG
rnacentral:rRNA from 1 species